rnacentral:rRNA from 1 species
GCGGGCAUAGCAAUAUGUCAGCGGCAGACGGGUGAGUAACGCGUGGGAACGUACCUUUUGGUUCGGAACAACACAGGGAAACUUGUGCUAAUACCGGAUAAGCCCUUACGGGGAAAGAUUUAUCGCCGAAAGAUCGGCCCGCGUCUGAUUAGCUAGUUGGUGAGGUAAUGGCUCACCAAGGCGACGAUCAGUAGCUGGUCUGAGAGGAUGAUCAGCCACAUUGGGACUGAGACACGGCCCAAACUCCUACGGGAGGCAGCAGUGGGGAAUAUUGGACAAUGGGCGCAAGCCUGAUCCAGCCAUGCCGCGUGAGUGAUGAAGGCCCUAGGGUUGUAAAGCUCUUUUGUGCGGGAAGAUAAUGACGGUACCGCAAGAAUAAGCCCCGGCUAACUUCGUGCCAGCAGCCGCGGUAAUACGAAGGGGGCUAGCGUUGCUCGGAAUCACUGGGCGUAAAGGGUGCGUAGGCGGGUCUUUAAGUCAGGGGUGAAAUCCUGGAGCUCAACUCCAGAACUGCCUUUGAUACUGAAGAUCUUGAGUUCGGGAGAGGUGAGUGGAACUGCGAGUGUAGAGGUGAAAUUCGUAGAUAUUCGCAAGAACACCAGUGGCGAAGGCGGCUCACUGGCCCGAUACUGACGCUGAGGCACGAAAGCGUGGGGAGCAAACAGGAUUAGAUACCCUGGUAAGUCCAC